AAGAGAAUAUAUAAAGAAGCUGCUAACUAUCUUUUUAAGCGAUUUUAAACGUUUUUCUCUUA
rnacentral:tRNA from 1 species